rnacentral:rRNA from 1 species
UUCUCGCCAGACGAACGCUGGCGGCGUGCCUAAUACAUGCAAGUCUGGUAAUGAUUGGUGCUUGCAUCAUGAAUUACAUUUGAGUGAGUGGCGAACUGGUGAGUAACACGUGGGAAACCUGCCCAGAAGCGGGGGAUAACACCUGGAAACAGAUGCUAAUACCGCAUAACAACUUGGACCGCAUGGUCCGAGUUUGAAAGAUGGCUUCGGCUAUCACUUUUGGAUGGUCCCGCGGCGUAUUAGCUAGAUGGUGAGGUAACGGCUCACCAUGGCAAUGAUACGUAGCCGACCUGAGAGGGUAAUCGGCCACAUUGGGACUGAGACACGGCCCAAACUCCUACGGGAGGCAGCAGUAGGGAAUCUUCCACAAUGGACGAAAGUCUGAUGGAGCAACGCCGCGUGAGUGAAGAAGGGUUUCGGCUCGUAAAACUCUGUUGUUAAAGAAGAACAUAUCUGAGAGUAACUGUUCAGGUAUUGACGGUAUUUAACCAGAAAGCCACGGCUAACUACGUGCCAGCAGCCGCGGUAAUACGUAGGUGGCAAGCGUUGUCCGGAUUUAUUGGGCGUAAAGCGAGCGCAGGCGGUUUUUUAAGUCUGAUGUGAAAGCCUUCGGCUCAACCGAAGAAGUGCAUCGGAAACUGGGAAACUUGAGUGCAGAAGAGGACAGUGGAACUCCAUGUGUAGCGGUGAAAUGCGUAGAUAUAUGGAAGAACACCAGUGGCGAAGGCGGCUGUCUGGUCUGUAACUGACGCUGAGGCUCGAAAGUAUGGGUAGCAAACAGGAUUAGAUACCCUGGUAGUCCAUACCGUAAACGAUGAAUGCUA